GUGCAUGUGAACGCAAGUGACAGCCGGCUAAUAAAUCUGUAUGCAGUGGUAGGGGCUUCCUAAAAGCAAUUCAUUUUAAUUAUGUUUGACAUAAAAGACCACCUACAGAUGAGACAAUACAGCUGUAAGAUUCUCCAGGUUUCUUUUGGGAAUACUUCAUAACUGAAGUAUGUUUUCCUGUAGGAGUAUUAUCGCCAUUUGAUUUAAUUUUUAAUUUUUACAUUUUAAAUCAAAAAUAGAUCAAAAACGGAAGGGGUGUCCCUGGGGAGACAUACUUCUAAUUUAAAGUGGUG